rnacentral:piRNA from 1 species
UAUCCUCCUUUAAAUCUUAUGCUGUCUGUC